AGGCCGUACCGCGGGCGGAAAUGUUCUCGGCGGAAGUGGUCGCUGCGCAAGUCGUGGGUGGAAUGACUGCGGGCCGGCUCCUCCGAAGGCUGUUGCGAACACCUUCCAGGUCCAUGGCACAGAGCGCAGUCGGUGGCGUGUGCCCCUCCAGGGGCUUGCACGCGGAGCUCGGGCCUCGAAGUCUCUCCAUCGAAGGAAACAUUGCUGUAGGAAAGUCCACCUUUGUGAAGUUACUCACGAAAACUUACCCAGAGUGGCACAUAGCUACAGAACCUGUAGCAACAUGGCAGAAAGUCCAGGCUCCUGGCACCCAAAAAGCCUUCACUGCCCAAAGUCUUGGAAACUUGCUAGAUAUGAUGUACCAGGAACCAGCACGAUGGUCCUACACAUUCCAGACAUUUUCUUUUAUGAGCCGCCUGAAAGUACAGCUGGAGCCCUUCCCUGAGAAACUGUUACAGGCAAGGAAGGCGGUACAGAUCUUUGAGAGGUCCGUGUACAGUGACAGGUAUAUCUUUGCGAAGAAUCUUUUUGAAAAUGGUUCCAUCAGUGACAUCGAAUGGCAUAUCUAUCAAGACUGGCAUUCUUUUCUCCUGCAGAAGUUUGCCAGCCAGCUCAGAUUACAUGGGUUCAUCUACCUCCAAGCUACUCCCCAGGUUUGUUUGAAGAGACUAUACCAGAGGGCCAGGGAAGAGGAGAAAGGAGUUGAGCUGACGUAUCUCGAGCAGCUUCACGAUCAACACGAAGCCUGGCUUGUUCACAAGACAACUGAGCUCCAUUUUGAGGCUCUGCUGAACAUUCCAGUGCUGGUAUUGGAUGUCAAUGAUGAUUUUUCUGAAGAAGUAACCAAACAAGAAGAACUCAUGAAAAAGGCACACAGUGAGAGAGAGAGAGGCAGAGACACAGGCAGAGGGAGAAGCAGGCUCCAUACACCGGGAGCCCGACGUGGGAUUCGAUCCGGGGUCUCCAGGAUCGCGCCCUGGGCCAAAGGCAGGCGCCAAACCGCUGCGCCACCCAGGGAUCCCUCAUCAUGGUCCUUAACUGCAAAUAGAAGGCAGUUACUAUGGACCUAAUGAAGCUCAGGCUUCAAGGUUGUCAUUUGCAAGGUUCCAGAGUGCCCGGCAUGGCUAUUGGGAGAAUGUGAUCCCCCUGUAACUCCUCCUGCCACAAGAAGUUCCUCACUGACCUGAGACUCUGUCACACACACACAGAGAGAGAGAGAGGCAGAGACAUAGGCAGAGGGAGAAGCAGGCUCCAUGCACCGGGAGCCCGACAUGGGAUUCGAUCCCGGGUCUCCAGGAUCGCGCCCUGGGCCAAAGGCAGGCGCCAAACUGCUGCACCACCCAGGGAUCCCGGUAUCUGACUUUUCAUCUUCACCGUGAGAGGCUGGCUCUGCCUCCCACCACAGUGGGAAAGUCCCCGAACAUGGGAAGAGGAUCCAUUCACUGGUUCCCCACAACUUGGCAGAUGUUCACUACAGGUGGGUUUUCUAGAGCCUGAGCUUAACACUGGGCACAGCGGGCCCAGGUGACACUUGUGAAAUCAGCUUAGUCUGGCUUGGAGGAUACUUAGUACAGACCACGCUCCUGCAUGUGAUUCAUUAGACCAGGAUCAAGGGGACUUCAUCUCCCGAGAACACUUGAAUGAAAACCCUUACAGUGGAAAGGGCCCAUGUGCAUGUCUUUGGGAACAGCAAUGGAAGAGAGUAGUACGGGGGAGGUGGCAGCCUCAUCUGAAGCUGAGGGUAUUCCCCAGGCAAGAGAACACCAUCGUGGGAGAAGGCCUGUGUUCUCUGCAUCCAUCGUGGCCCCAUCACCCCUCCCCCCACUGCAGCUAGAAAACUGGGGGCGUCUGACUCCUCCCUCUCACUCAUCCUCAAUAUCUGGGUGAUCAUUGGGAGCUAGCAAUUCCCCCUAAUGUUUCUCAGCUCUGUCUUAUCAGCAAGCACCCUCUUCAGGAAACUGGUCUAGAUGCCCUGCCUGUGUGCUCCUGUUGCAUGGAUCUUACGGUUUCCUCUGCCACUAUAGCAUUAAAAUGGUCCAUUUCCUUGUCUCUUUAUUAGAUCACAGAAUGCAUCCUAUCUGUCUUUGUAUCUUCAGGGCCUGGCACAUAGGAAUGCACAGCUCAAUCACUAUUAAACAAAAGGAAAGAAGGAAGAAGGGGAGAAGAGAAGUAGGCUGAGCUUGUGAAGAGUCCCUGAACUAAGCAAUGAAAUAUCCCCACAUUCCAAUCCCUUUAUGCUGCUAGCAACAUACUACAUCUCACCAGGUGCCAGACCAGCUCUCUGCCAGGCUCUGAGCAGCCUCUUCAGCAUGAAUGGUACAAGUCAAAGAGUUCUUUGAGUCUGCUCUCAGAUCCCCCCCGUCAGGUGAUCCUGGGGCCACUGGGGACCAUGCAGGGCCCCAUGAGGAGGAAAUUGCAGAAGACAGAAGAGGCCCCAGGCCCUACCUGGAUAAAAUUUCCCCAGAUUGCCCUCAGACUUCUACAGAAAAGAGAUACAAACCUAAGUCACUGUUAUUUGGGGUUUUAUCAUUGUAUAUAGCUGAACGGAUAAUGCAGUGGCUCUAAGCUUGCUGUGACAUUCUCUCUUGCCUUCUCUGGGGCCCUGCUCGCAGGGCAGGCAAGUGUCAGAAACCGUGCAACUAGAAACCUUGGAGAAUGUUACCUGGCUGGUAACCCCUCACAGGGGAUAGAUGGUUCCUGGGUCCCCACUCCAGCACAUGGGAAGGAUGAGGAAAGGGGGUGGAGAGAAGCUGUCUUACCCUGGGCAAGUUAUCAGGCCUCUCUACUCCUUAGGUCCCUUGCUGUGAAAACAAGAUGAUCUUCAAAACAUCUUAUAGCCUCAAGUUCAUAAUAUUUGCCUUAUGAAUGAAAAAGUAGCAUGGAAGAGAUGGAGGGCCUGGGCUUAGGUAUCACACCUGGGGUCCAGUCCCAGUUGGGCCACUGACUGGCUCUGCAACUCUGACAAGUUCCUGAACCUCUCUGAGCCUCAAUUUUAAGUCCAAAAGUGAAACUAUCUUUGAUCCCACUUCAUAGGGCUGUUCCAGGAUUAGAAAUACUGUAGACAAAUGUUUGGGCACAGAGUAGCCACUUGGUAAGUGGAGCUGGUAGGUCUGUGUGGGUGGAAAGUCCUUCAGAGAGUCUAGCUGAGCUGAGCCUUGGGCGGUGAGGUGAGGAACAUGAUGGGAGGCAGAAUGGUGAGGACAGACCCAGCAGCUAAGCAGUGUGGGCAAAGGAAGGAUUAUGUGUGGUGUGAAGAGUGGGUACAGUGUGGUCCCAAAUGGGGAGAGAUGACGUGUCCCUAAGCGUGAUGCAAGACAGACGGUAACAGGUGCUGCUUCCAGCUAAGGGAACUGUGGUGGGUCACAGAGCACAGGAGCUGGGCACUCCAAGGAGGAGGGUCUGUAGAACAGAAGCUGGGAUGACAAUGACUGUGGAGUUAACGCCAUGGACCAAGGCAAGGAGCUAGGAAUGUGUCCUGUGCAUCCUGGGGGUGGGGAGGGCAACUGUGGAUGCGGAAUGCUCAUGUACUUUAAGUAGAGUGCUCGGGCCCCUCUUCUCUGCAAGGCAACAACAGCACAGGCCAGCGAGCCAUUGCCGCACACACUGCCUCCUACCAGCCUCCCCUCAGCACCUCUGCGUGUCUGUGAGGCCAGAGCCAGGAUGCCUGGGUCAGGAACGAGCCUCUGAGGUCCUCCGAGAGGCCUGGCAGGGGUGCUGAUACAGGACUCCUGUUCAGAAGGUAAAGGGCUUGGAGAGCAAGCAAGCAGGCAUUCACUGCAGCUUCCUUCCCGCCUGGCGGCUGGCUGUGUGCCCUGAACUUGACCUCAGAUGACCCGUGUGUUCUCUUCCUGGAAACGGUUCCAUUGCCAGAAGCAGUUGAGCUUUGGCUUUGGCUUUCUUUCUCCUUCAGAGCAGCGACUUGCCUCAGCUGAGACUGGCUCUGCGGUGAAAGUCUUCCCACUACCUGAGCAAGACCUUGCUUUCCUCUCUGUCACCUGCCAGUGGGUGUCUUGAAAUCCUUGUAUGAAAAAGAUGAUGUCCCAGGCACUUGGCCUUUUCAAUUCUAAGGCUCUGGUUGGAACAAGUGGAUCCAGGGGGUCUGAAUCCAAGGCAAUGUGAUCCAUGUGUAUGAAGAAGGAGGCUGCAGGGUGAGGGCAGGGAGGUAAGCAGGAGUGAGAACCGGGUAGCCACUAGAAGGCUGAGAGAGGGCACCAGUUCAGGAUGGUUUAGAGUGGAGGUGGCAGGCCCUAGGGCUGCUUGAAUGUGUAGGGAAGGAUGUGUUUGGAGAACUGCUGUCUCCAGCUGAGGAGACUGAGACUCUCCUGCUCAGUGCCGAGUCUCAUCCUGGGCACCUGCACAUCAUUACCUCCAUUCUCUUAAGUAAUACAUAAUAUCCUCACUGAUUAUUGUAUAAAUUUUAAUUCUGGUUGUCAUGGCUACAUAUGGUUAAAAUACUGUAAGACCCUUUCUCCCUGAAGGGGAAAGAGGAACCAAGGGAUCGGAUGGAAUGGAAAGAGGGGACCUGGGGAUCCCUGGGUGGCUCAGCGGUUUAGCUCCUGCCUUCAGCCCAGGGCGUGAUCCUGGAGUCCCGGGAUCGAGUCCUGCAUCAGGCUCCCUGCAUGAAGCCUGCUUCUCCCUCUGCCUGUGUCUCUGCCUCUCUCUCUGUGCCUCUCAUGAAUAAAUAAAUAAAAUCUUUAUAGAAAAAAAAGGAAAGAGGGGACCAUUUGAGUCCCUACUACACACCAAUGUCCGAGAUAGAACAUUGCCAUAGCAAGGCUCAUUUGAUUCUCUGCAAAGGAAUCUGCAAAGGAGGUAGCCUAAGUAGCAUUUUGACAGAUGGGAAGGAGGCUGGGAGAGGGGAAUUACCUCGCCCACAGUCACAAACCAGUACGCAGAGGAGCUGGAAAUGGAGCCCAGGCACCCAGAGGGAGCAUCUCAAUUUUGGGGGAAAGGGAAGAGUGUGUGGGGGGAGGGGGAUGCACAAUGGCCAAGUGGAGUGAUGGGAUCUGGUAGGGGCUCUGAGGAUUGGUUUGCCUGCCCUACACAGUUCCUGCAAAUGGGGUUUGACCCUCACCCAUAAAGGAUAUGGGGAAGUGGAACCUCAAGAAUGAAAGGGGUUGAAAUCAAGUUCAGAUCUCAGAUGGGACAGCAAGCAAGCUCCUGCUGAGUAGAGAUGGAAUGUGAGCAGCAUAUGAAAACAAGGUCAUGGGACAAACAGGUUAAAGUUGAAGCCAUCUAGUAGGGACACUUGACUCUUUUUAGAAAGCCCUUGUACUGCUCUGGCUGAAUUCUUAAGAUUUGCAGCUCAGGAAUUUCAUGAUUUUUAUACUACACGUUAUUUUCUGUGCUUUCCUCUCCCCAAUUCUCCACUUUACGUUCACAUGUUCCUUUUAAUUUUGUUUUUUAAAAAAGAUUUUAUUUAUUAGAGAGAGAGAGAGAGAGCGCACACACAAGCAGGAGGAGGGGCAGAGGGAGAGGGAGAAGCAAGUUUCUCACAGAGCAGAGAGCCAAAAGUGGGGCUCAAUCCGAGGACCCCAGGAUCAUGACCUGAGCAGAAGACAGAUGCCCAAACCUACAGAGCUACAGGCACCCCUAUCAGUUAAGUUCCUUUUAGAAAGGCUGACUUUGUGGUGCCUUGGUGGCUCUGUGAGUUAAGCAUUCAACUCUUGAUUUCAGCUCAGAUCGUGAUCUCCAGGUUGUGAGAUUGAGCCCUGCACAGGGGCUUAACAUUCUCUCUCUCCCUCUCUCUCUACCCCUCUCCCUUUGCUUGACCUUUCUCUCUCUCUCUCUCUCUCUAACAACAACAACAAUGACAACAACAAAAGGCUGACCUUGUUGGAGGAUUUGAUGUUCAACUACUAGGUAAAUCAUAGGAUCGUGGUCCAGCCAGUUUCACCCCAGAACCUCAGGUCUCCAUAUAUGCUGCUUCUUGGGUCUUGUUGGGGAUGUCUCAUAUGCACCUUAAAUGGACAUGUCCUUGGUAACCUCAUUCAGCCACUUGAUCUUCCUCUGGUGCUACCAUCUACCCUGUUGUUCUUCCAGAAACCUCCUCCAUAUGCCCUCAUGUAAUUGAUCCCUACCCUGUUGAUAUGGCUCCCUAAAUCUCUCUCUAGUACUUCUCUCCCUCCCCUCCUCACAACUGUAAUGGAGACCACCAUCAUUUUUUUCUCACCUGGGUUCCUAUAACAGCCUUCCUGCUGGUUUCUCUGCCUUCAUGCUGAGACUCCAAUACAUUCCCGGUACCACAGCAAGCACUGAGCAAGAUGUGGUCUCUUUCUGCAGCAUAGUAAACAUGGCAGACCUAGACACUCUUAACAAUGUACUCUUAAGAAUGUGAUGGGCAGGUUCAGUCUUGAGAGACCAUCAAAGGCUUCCUGAGUUGUCACCUGAGUGUAGCCAGGAAGGAUGAGUGGGAGUGAAUGGCGAGAAGGCAGGAAAUGCUUCUGUCAUAGCUUUAGAACUUUCCUCUUAAGCAGACAGGCCCCUGGUGACACUUAUGCCCCGAGUCCUUUCCUCUGCUGGAUACUCAAUUUACAAAUUAAUUUCUACUGAGCUUGCCCCACUGCCACUCAUCUUUGCCAUCAUACUUCCCUCAGCUCAGAUUUCUUUUGCCUGGGUCUAAAUAUCUGAAUCUUCUCUAGUGGGAGAAACGACAACCCAAUAGAAUGGGAAUCUCAAAUACAUGUCCUCAGGAGGGAGAAGCACUCAUGAAAUGGGUGGAACUGAUUGCACUUAUGCCUCUGGUACCCACAUCCACCUCACCUGCUGACACUAUUCCCUAUGUGUUAUUAGCACUGUUAACCAAAUACGUUUCCUUCUCCAGGUUCAUGGGAGCAUUGCUCCUACUACACUUCCUUGCCACCUUGUGACUUGCUAGUGAAAUCAGAGUGGAAAUGACAUGAAUUAUUCCUAGGUCAAAACUUUGAGAAUUAGUGCUUGGUUUGCCUCAUCCUCAUUUCCUGCCUUCAGGGUUGAGGAGGCAACAUGUCCAGUUGGAGCUGCCUGUGUCACCAUGGACAACAGAGCUGCUGCUGACCCCCAAUGGACAUAUUUCACGAUUGAGAAAUAAACUUUUGGUCAAACCACUGAGACCUGGGGAUAGUUUGUUAUUACAGUGAAACCUAACUGAUCCUGUUAUAUCUGGUCAAAUCAAGGUGUG